UGGAGAGGUGGCAGAGUGGUCGAAUGCGGCAGAUUGCUAAUCUGUUGUACGAAUCGUAAGACCGUACCGAGGGUUCGAAUCCCUCCCUCUCCGUC
rnacentral:tRNA from 4 species